GAAGCGACCUCAGCUCAGGCGGGGCUACCCGCUGAGUUUAAGCAUAUCAAUAAGCGAGGAAAAGA
rnacentral:rRNA from 1 species